rnacentral:rRNA from 1 species
AUUGAACGCUGGCGGCAGGCCUAACACAUGCAAGUCGAGCGGUAGCACAGAGAGCUUGCUCUCGGGUGACGAGCGGCGGACGGGUGAGUAAUGUCUGGGAAACUGCCUGAUGGAGGGGGAUAACUACUGGAAACGGUAGCUAAUACCGCAUAACGUCGCAAGACCAAAGUGGGGGACCUUCGGGCCUCAUGCCAUCAGAUGUGCCCAGAUGGGAUUAGCUGGUAUGGUGGGGUAACGGCUCACCUAGGCGACGAUCCCUAGCUGGUCUGAGAGGAUGACCAGCCACACUGGAACUGAGACAGGGUCCAAACUCCUACGGGAGGCAGCAGUGGGGAAUAUUGCACAAUGGGCGCAAGCCUGAUGCAGCCAUGCCGCGUGUGGGAAGAAGGCCUUCGGGUUGUAAAGCACUUUCAGCGGGGAGGAAGGCGGUGAGGUUAAUAACCUCACUGAUUGACGUUACCCGCAGAAGAAGCACCGGCUAACUCCGUGCCAGCCGCCGCCGUAA